GUGAAAUCUGGAGGUACCACUUUACUUCAUAAGUCAGAUUACUUAGCUUGGGGAAUUUUGUUUAUACAAAACUGAUUCUUAAACUAUAACAACCAUAUAAUGCUAUUGAUAUUGAAACUUUGGGUAGCUGACAGAAUCAUUUCUGGUGCCACUGCACACAUUUUGGUGCACAGCUCCAUUAUCUUCAGACUUGAAAAAUGCAACUGAAAUGACAGGCAUAUUGCUAUUACAGUGAGCCAGCAGUGACUUUAUCUAUAUUAAAGUUUGUACAUUAUCAAUACUUGGUAUGCGAGCAAACUUAUUAUGCAAGACAACAAGGAACAUGAUUGGAUGUAUUCUACAUUCUACAAAAAUAAAUUACAUUUGCUCACUUUUGAACUAUUUUUGACAAUACAGAUGAAAAGCUGACUGUUACCCAGAUGUUCAUCAUGUUAUAAACCUGACACUGUUCCUAUGUACAUAUACUGACAACUCUACAUUCAUAUUCAUACAAAUAUUACUGAUGACUUUGUUUAGAAAUGCUUUUAAAAAGGUACAGGAAAAGAUAGUCGGCACUGGAUACUGGGUUAAUCUCUCCACUCUUUGUAGAGAAAAUAAACAUAGAAAUGUACAGUACUUUUUUCUUUUUCUUAUGGCCAUACUAACUUACUGUUGUGUAUUUAUAUGAAGGAAUUCAACAAAGUAUAUCUACAGCAGUUGCAAUAGCAAAUCAAAACUGACAAUUACAAGUGGGUUCACUUGUAAACCUGUGGUAACUUGGGAAGGAAACAAUUGGUUUAUGUCUUUUAAGCUCUUUAUUAGAACCAACACUUGAUAAUACAUUUGUACAGUGCUGCAUACAGCAAUGCAGCAGCCGAUCUCAUCAGGCCUCUGCUGAUACAAGUCCUUAUUACAAAGGCUGGGGAUGGAGCCCGAUGAAAGUACGGAUUGUCAUGCAAGACAAAUUAGUUACUACAAAACCCCACAGCUUACAGCUGGCAUUUUAAAGACACUGUUUUUACACUUUAGAGUAGAACCUGACAUAUCCGAUAUAAGAUACAAUAUCCUCAAUUAACCGAUGGACCGCUGGCAUGUAUUGUACAUGCUGCUACCAACUGAACAGUACUGAUCAAUGCACAUUUUAUUAAGAGUCUAAAACAGUAAAUUCAGCUCUUAGCAGGACAGCAGAUAAAAAAUAAAAGACGGUGCGUUUGGGAAUUCAGUUUCACUUUUUAAAUGCUGUCACUUCACGUAAUUGAACAGUUUAUUAAAAACAAGAAAGCAAGGUAUUAACAUGGUUACUGUAAAGUUAAAAAGCUCAGUUAAAAAGAUUUUUUCGCUGACCCCCAAAGGCAGCUUUUGUCUAUAUUUCUUAUUUAUUUCUUGUUGUUGUUUCUGUUACCGGUUAACAUAUGUAUGGUGCAAAAUAACCUAGCGGAUUACUUUGACAUAGACUGAGAAAGCACGGUAAGAACUGUUUUUGUAAUGCUAUUUUGUAACUUGCCAAAUACUGUAUUACACUACUUUGUUUUGCAAUAGUUUUCACAGAUUUUCUGUUUAGUGUUUUAGACACACUGAUGCACCUGACAUUGUUAAUUUAUAAUGCCCUACGUUAAUAAAGUAACUACAAUGUGUAGUUGACUUCCUGUGAGAUACAUUUUACAUAUCUGAUGGACCCCUGGAACCAAUUAAAUUGGGUGUGACGGGUUCUACUGUAGUUGAGAACAGAUCAGCAGCAGACGACCCUCAAUCUAUUUAUCUUCUUGUAUUUUUCCCUGUUCCAAAUUGAGUUGUAAAUAAAAUACUGAGCAUUGAACCCUGUAGAACACAAGAUUAGUAGCCAGUAGUGAUAGCAGUGGGGUGUGCUUAAUUUAAAUGAAACAGGACCUAAUCUAUAACAAUAGCUGCUCUUUCCAAUCAACACAGUAACAGUGACGGGUAUUUGGCCUAGGAUAACACAGGAGCAUGGGAAAAUACGCUUGCAGAUAAAAACUGCUCUGCAACUGUCAUGAGCUAUUUAGAUGUAUCUCUGCUCUCAUGGCAAUAGAUCACGGUCCUUUGCUAAAAUCUGAAAGUUUAUUGCAGCAGAUAAACCAAACUGUCUGAUGUUCAUUUCACACACCAUCCUCAUCACUUCACUGUGGGAGAUUAUUUAGUAGGCACUAAAUGUGUAACAGGUCAAUAAUGACUAAACAAUAGCCUCUAUUUAUUAAAUAAUUUUACUCUAGUGUGCAAUUUGCACCCUUUUUGUGGAUGUUUAACAACAAAAUUAGAGAAACACUUCAAGAAUGCAGGGCUGAGCGCAUGGUGGCAAACACACUGUAUGUAUCAAAGUCCUCUUUGUUUAUGCUGUGCUGAAAGAUUACUAGAAUCACAUUAAACUGUGAUUGUCUGAAUAUUUGAAUGUGUGAUUGUAGUGUUUAUUUUACAAGCUCAGAAUAAAUUAUAAUACUAACCACAUAUCUAUCACCAUCUUCCUGCAGAUUCUGUACAAAAAAAAUGAUCUAGUACUAAUAAAUACUGUAUUAUUAAAUGUUUAAAAACUAUUACACUGCAUUUUACUGUAGUGAUAAUGCAUUCAAUUGUAUAACAUUAAAUGUAUCAAACUUCUAUUUUAUACUUAAUUUUAUUUUGAAUGUAGACUUUCAGAAUUGCAAUAAACGCACAAACCAUCACAACACAAAAACAAAUAACCACAUAAUGAAUACAAUUCAUAUGAUAUUUAGUAAAUAAAAAUAGCGUCACUUAUAAUUUCAUUAAUACCACGUUAAGACGGAGUGGACAGCAAAUAAACACUAGGAUAUUGUUCCAACAAUUACCAUAAAACACCAAGAAAUGCAUCAUCUGCUAUUGACCACUCCAAAAUCCUUUAUUUCAUGAACUGUGAUUCCCUUGUGUCUUUUGCAGUCCUCAUGUUAACAGCUGAGGUGGCCAUUCUUAUUACUGUAUACUGCAGCUUUAAAGUUAUCAAUGUAUCUGCUAAAUUUGUUGAGAAUCCCCUAAAAAAUAUUUACAUACUCUCUUUUGAUGUUGGUAAGACAGCUGAACAAUUAAAAAACACAAUAGCUUCCUAACAAAAAGUCAGAUGUUGAUUCAGCAAAAAAGAUUAAUUCAACCCAUAUAUAUUUAUCUCCUAAAGGACCAUUUAUUUUCAAAAGGCAGAUUCUUAGGUGUGGCUGUGCAGUUUUUGGAACUUUACAAAAAUGUUUUGGAAGCGGAGUGAGUCCUUUAUGCAAAUGUUUAUAUCACUGUCAUUUCACAGGAGCAUGUGGUUAAACAGUUGUCUGGAGUUUAAUCUUGAGCAACACUCUUUCACACACUUCAAUUUUGUCAUAUUUAAAAAAUAAUAAAUUGCUCAUGUCUCCAUCUGCUGGUUCAAAAAAAGAAUUGCAGAUAUCUCACAAGGAAAGGUACAAGUCUUUGUUUUAACACUAUUCUGAUGAUUAAUUGAACCAAUUACAGCUCUAAAUUAUUAACUAUCUAAGGUCAGAAUAUUUUAACAUAAUAACCUUGGAGUGGAACGGCCCUCCGGGACCGAAAUUGGUCUGUUAUUUUGUGGAGUAGUGGUUAGGGCUCUGGACUCUUGACCAGAGGGUCGUGGGUUCAAUCCCAGGUGGAGGACACUACUGCUGUACCCUUGAGCAAGGUACUUUACCUAGAUUGCUCCAGUAAAAACCCAACUGUAUAAAUGGGUAAUUGUAUGUAAAAAUAAUGUGAUAUCUUGUAACAAUUGUAAGUCGCCCUGGAUAAGGGCGUCUGCUAAGAAAUAAAUAAUAAUAAUGUUUAUGAAAAUCUUUUAAUCAGAUUAAGAAUAAUACAGAUUUUUUUUCAUUUAUUUCUUGUUAAUACUUUGAGAAAGUUGAAUAUGUUAUAAAUGAACAAGUCAUUUUGAGAUUGUGAUCAUAGAACAUAGUGUCAGGGAAGUACAAAAUUAGAUGUAGAAGUUAAUGGAAAGGAUUACCCCCAUUUGUAGGUGUUUCUGCAUUGAUGUUGUAAAUUACUGUCUAGAUACACCUUCAAUUAGUUUUUGAAGCAGUGAAAGGGUCUAGACACCUACCUGGACUGGGAACAGGGACAAGUAGUUACAGAUAGGUCAUUAUAAACUGCUUAGCUGUACAAUAAAAUAUUGCUAAAUAUGAAACCUGUAUAAAGAACCAACCCAAAUGAAUGCUUUCAUUCCUGUUAUUUCACAUCGCAGGAGAGUUCACAUUAUGGCACCAUGAAGUUGAAAGUCCUUGCCACUUAGGGGAUAGGCGAGUGGAAAGUGUACUUGUUGGACCAGGCUGAAGUGCAUGAGCUGGAGAGACCAGGAUCAAUGAAGCUCUGUGUUACCGUUGGCAAGCUGACCUCAUGUGCACGCCAAACCAGGAACACUGUUCCUGUGUACGAUUUCCUACAUUUAUUUGACUUUUUAGUCUGUAGUGCAUUUAGUGCUAAAGUACUGACACCUUCCGAUUAGUGUAAAUAAAGAAAUACACUGACAAAAAUAGUUUUAUUAAUUAAGAAAAAGCUAUUUUUAAUAAGAACCGUUUCAAAGUAUUUAAACUGGAAUAUUCUACUCAUUUGUAGCCAGGAAAUAAAUUAGUCUGUUUUAAUGUUUUUUGAGAAAUUAUUAUUAUUAUUAUUAUUAUUAUUAUUAUUAUUAUUAUUAUUAUUAUUAAGCUUUUUCUUAUUAAAAUAGCAGUUUUAUAAAAGCAAAUUUAAAGUGAUACUGCACUAUACUGCAAUCAGAAUAUUGAGGGCUUAAAUGUGUAUGUUAAAUGUAUGUAUAUCAAAAACAGCAAAACAGCAGUUUAACUACACCUGCUGUCGUAAGUACAGCCGACAGCACUUACUAUAGCUGAGCUGUCAUAUUGUGUUAUUUUUAUCUAUUCACUCUCAGGCUGUGAUUCAAGUUCCUCCAUUUCUACCAGUCAUGUCAUUUUAAUGCGGAAGACCAGACUCCCUUUUGCAAUUAAAUCUAUUUCAUAUUUUGAAUACAGUGCCACCUUGUGGUGAUUAACUUCAUAACAGGUGUGCCCCAGGAGCCCCUGUCCCACAGAUUACUCACUUUCGAGAAUUAUUUGUUUAUGCACCAGUGUUGGUAAUUCUACACAAAUUAAUUCUCAUUAUUUUCUUAAAACCUAGAUUUACCUUGAACCUUCUGCUGAGUUUUAGGAAAACAGUCUGCUAAUAUUCAUAAAGGAUUGCAUGCAUAAUCAGAGAAAAUAAAUAACUUUAUUAAACAAAUAAUUUUUUACUUGUCAGAUUUGCUUAUAGUUUAUCUGGACAGAGCCAGAUAUCUGUUUGUUGUUGUUGUUGUUGUUGCAAGAUAUGGAUCGCCAGUCAAGCUAACAGGCUGUGAUUGGCUGAAUCAGUAGUUGCAGCUGCAAAGUACUGAUUGGCUGGUUUUGGUAGAUAAUAACAUUAAUUUGGACCAAUUGUGUCCUUGUUUAGUAUUGUGUCCUAAUUGUUGUGAACUGGUGUGAAAAUACAAAUUAAUUUGAACUCGGAAUACAUUCCAUCAUGUUAUUUAACAACCGACCAUGAGUUUAGCAGUCACUUCCUCAGAGGUAGAUUGCAAAAGCUAAUGGGGCUUUAGAAUUUGAAAGCACCAUCUCAGCUUCAGGCACCCGAAUGUGCUUUAGUAAAUAAACAUAAACUACCCUUAAAGCCUUCUAGUAGGAGCUUUCUAGAAGUAAUGUUUGCAGAUGGAUUAUGUGGUUUCACAUGUAGGUUGUCUAAAGCCUAAUUUCUGUUGCUACCUUUAUCAAAAGUUCACCAUAAGAGGAAAUCGUUAAAUGCUCUUCCUCUUCAAGGCCGUCCUUUGUUGAAGACAUCUACCAUUAUUUGGCUAGCUAGGUAAUGAAGUUGGGUAGUUCAUUUAAUCAGACUUCUCCACAUCUGCAAAAAUACUUUAUCUGUCUGAACAGAAGUAGAAAAGGGCUUUGAAGACACUUGAGAACAAAAUAAAAACUCAAACAACAGAGCAUGUUUAAUGGUUGCUAUCUGAAUUUCUCCUUGCUUUCCUAGCACAGAGGGCUCGGUAGUGUGGCUGCCAGAGAUUGUAGCUUUAAAAAAGAAGCACAAUACAAGGCUUACCUGUACUUGGAUGAGGCUCACAGCAUCGAGGCAGAUCCUUCAGAUUACAACGUAAUGGUGGGUACCUUCACCAAGAGCUUUGGAGCAGCUGGGGGAUACACAGCUGGCAAUAAGGACCUGGUAGACUUUUUACGUACCCAUUCACACAGCUCUGUCUAUGUUACCUCCAUGUCGCCACCUGUUGCCAAACAGAUUGUGAGGGCCAUGAAGUGCACCAUGGGACAGGAUGGAAGGAUAGUGGCUGGAUUCCUGGAUAAAGGGAAUUAAUGUAGCAGAGGCACCUGUAGGACUACUCAUCGAAUUGUGAGGAAACAUGUACAGACAUUCCUUCAAAAUCUUCUGUCUGUGUUCUGGCUUCUAGGUGAUUGGACAAUUGAAGGUGUAGUCUUUAGAUAGUCAUACAUUUCUUGAAACAUGAACAGUGAGUUUUUCAAAACCUGAUUGGCUGAGCUAUUUCAUAAUGUCAACUACUGUUUUAUGGUGAGGACACAUUGGACCGUAUUCACUAAAGAUUUAUUCCAGUGCUGUGAUUUAUAUAACUGUUUUUUUCAUGGAAAAAUAAUGUUGCAAAACUUUAAAUAUCCAGUGUUUAUACAAUGUACCCAUGUAGUUAUUUGUUAUUUCUGGUUGGAUUUGUAACAUUACUGGUUUGUUUUUCACUUUUGAAAACAUGGCAUAAACACUGCACUGGCGCCUUCUGUUAUUUUAUAUUUUCAUUAAUUACAUUUGUUUUUUAACCUGUACUCUGUCAAGAUAAGCCACAGUUUUCUUAAGAGGUUUACAACACUGAGUAUCACCCGGAAUGGCUUCAGCCAUCUGUCUGGUUAUCCAAGGAUUACCCCUAAAAAUACCUGUUUGAUACAAUCCAGGUAGAUUUCCUGGCAUUGUAAAAUGGUCUACAAUAGAUCCAUCUGUGGUUCAUCUUGUUGGGUAAAAAUGAACUCUGCAGUGCCACCAUUUGACAAUAUUAUAGGAGUCCUAAUUUAAAUAAUGUCAGUCUAACAUUGUGGGUGUUUACAUGCAAGUUUUAAUCGCGCUACUAUAGUGCAUUCAUGACAUGGAUCCUCAGCAUGGUACUCAUAAAUGCUGUCAGUGUAUUUUUUAUUUUAUUUUAUUUUUAUUUUGUUUUGUUGUAAUAAAAGAGAAAUACAUUCAGGCCAUUAACAACCGGGCAACAAAACAAUACAUGUCUUAAACACAUGUGGAUUAAUUUGAGGCCACCUGUUCAUACAUUUAUUGUACAAUUAUUUGAAAAAAACACAUUAAAAGUAUUUUCUUUUUAUAUAUAGUUCAAUCAAAUACCAAUUUAACUUGUGUGAAAAGUUUUGCUGAGAAGUUUUUUUGGGUGUUCUUUGAAAUACCUGCCAAUAUUUUAGCAGGUAAUCAAGACAAAAGCAAACGUUUAUUUCCAAGGACAUGUCAUGCCAAGUCCUUGAAACAGAGUUCCCUGUUCUUCUACCGGAACCCAAGGUAAUGAAUUCAGCCAGAAAUUAAUCAUUUCUAUGCCAUACACUCAUUAGACUCAAUCUUGGAAGUCGCCAUCACAAAAAAUCUAUUUUUGGGGGUGUCCCACUGGGACUGGAACAGACUGCACUUUUUUCUGUAUAUGGAAGAAUAAGGGUCUAUCAAGAUAUUUAGGGCCAGAUUUGUUUGACAGAAAUGUGUGCAAAUUGCAUUUUGGUGUAAAAGACUGUUACAAAACUUGGCAGGUUAAUCU